AUAUUUUGGCUUGGUGGAAAAAUAAUUGGACAAAAUAUCGAAUUUUAUCUCAAAUUGCAAGAGAUGUAUACGCCAUUCCAGUUUCUACAGUAGCAUCCGAAUCUGCUUUUAGUACCGGAGGGCGUAUUCUUGAUGCAUUCCGAAGUUCAUUGGGUCCAAAAAUGGUGGAGGCUUUGAUUUGUUCUCAAAAUUGGUUGCAAUCAAAGCCUAUGACGUAUGAUUAUAGAGUUGAAAUACCAAUAGAAGAUGUCGCAUAUUAUGAUUCUAUUGAAUCGGGAGCAUCUUGGGUUACAAAACAAAGUUUACCUCCACCUAAUUGAUAUAUGAUUACUUGGAUGAAUGGAAUUUGGUUUAUUGAGGUAGUGAGCUUGUGGUUGCUGCUGGUGGCUUUUCAUGCAAUGGAGAAUGUGGAAGAAAACAAUAUUUAAACUAAUUUUUAUUUUUAUGGAUUAUUAGUUUAUUUAAUUAUAAGUUUAUUUUAAAAUUUUAGAUUUCAAAAUGGGUUGUAUUUUAUUUUGUAGCUAAUAAUGGUUGUAGACUUGUUAUAUACUUUAUUUGUUGAUGUAUGGUUUAUAAUUGGGUGGUGGUAGUUGUAGAUUUGUAUUAUAGUUGUAUGAUUAUGUGUUGUAUUAUUUAAUAUGUUUGAUGCUUAAUAAUUAACUUAUUUGGUAUUUUUGUUUAGGUGGA